ACUCCUACGGGAGGCAGCAGUGGGGAAUAUUGGACAAUGGGCGAAAGCCUGAUCCAGCCAUGCCGCGUGUGUGAAGAAGGUCUUCGGAUUGUAAAGCACUUUAAGUUGGGAGGAAGGGCAGUAAGUUAAUACCUUGCUGUUUUGACGUUACCAACAGAAUAAGCACCGGCUAACUUCGUGCCAGCAGCCGCGGUAAUACGAAGGGGUGCAAGCGUUAAUCGGAAUUACUGGGGCGUAAAGCGCGCGUAGGUGGUUCAGCAAGUUGGAUGUGAAAUCCCCGGGGCUCAACCUGGGAACUGCAUCCAAAACUACUGAGCUAGAGUACGGUAGAGGGUGGUGGAAUUUCCUGUGUAGCGGUGAAAUGCGUAGAUAUAGGAAGGAACACCAGUGGCGAAGGCGACCACCUGGACUGAUACUGACACUGAGAUGCGAAAGCGUGGGGAGCAAACAGGAUUAGAUACCCUGGUAGCGUCGUG
rnacentral:rRNA from 1 species